CACAUUCUCUUUUCCUCUUUGUUUCUUUAUUAUUUAUUUUCCUUCAUUUUAUGACUCACUCUUUCUAUCAUAUCUUCCUCCAUUUUUUUUUAAAAUUUCUGAUUGUAUCAUCUCCUUCGAAUUUCAUAUCAUAUUCUUUCCUUUAUUAUCGCUUUCAAAUAUAUCUUUUUCUUUCUCUCUUAAAUGAUCUUAUCAACAACGAUGAUGAAAAGGAGAAUUUUAUGAUUUUGAAGUUUGUUAUGAGGAAAAGAUAAUAUAGACAACAUGUAUGAUAAUGACAACCUUUAUGAAAUUUCAAUUAUUUAUCACCCUAGUUUUCAUAAAAGUUUCAUACUUUACAAAUUUUUGUCUAAUUUACUUUGGUUUUUUUAUUUUAUUUUUCGGUGUAGUUUAACUUCUUUGUUGACUAAUAAAACUAUUGUUAUUUCAGGUUGGCCAAACAUCCCAAGAAAAUCAGUCCAACACCAAAGACCUAAUGGAAAGUACCCUCGUAGGAGAAAAAUAAGUAUGUAGACCAUGUAGACCUUUGCCAGAGGACUCUGCAAUGUAUCCAAACCAAUCGGUUGUCAUCAGUUAUAAGAUCCAAUUUGACGGUCUCCCGUGCAUUCAACGUUUAACUAAUCAGAAGCAUGUUUAACUACCCAUCAUAU
rnacentral:lncRNA from 1 species